CGGCAGGUGUAAUAAGAGCUGGGUCCUUGUGGACCUGGGUGUGCAAUGGCUGCCAACAGCAUCCUCCAUGGUAAAUUGUAGCCUUUUGCUUAUAUGGGUUGUUCUCAGGGACCAUGGGCAGAGUC
rnacentral:snoRNA from 1 species